CAGUAGCCGCGGUAAUACGUAGGUGGCAAGCGUUGUCCGGAUUUAUUGGGCGUAAAGCGAGCGUAGGCGGUCAAUUAAGUCUGAUGUGAAAGCCCCCGGCUCAACCGGGGAGGGUCAUUGGAAACUGGUUGACUUGAGUGCAGAAGAGGAGAGUGGAAUUCCAUGUGUAGCGGUGAAAUGCGUAGAUACAUGGAGGAACACCAGUGGCGAAGGCGACUCUCUGGUCUGUAACUGACGCUGAGGCUCGAAAGCGUGGGUAGCAAACAGGAUUAGAUACCCCAGUAGUCCCUGUCUCUUAUAC
rnacentral:rRNA from 1 species